GGAAUAUAAAGAUCCGUCUCUUAACUUUUAACUAAAAAAGUUAAGAACCGGUUCUUAAAUAAGAGUUUUAAGAGCCGGUUCUUAACUUUUUAAUUUAAAAGUUAAGAGACGAAUUCUUAUAUUUC
rfam:Brassica oleracea var. oleracea cultivar TO1000 chromosome C4, whole genome shotgun sequence